rnacentral:rRNA from 1 species
GAACGAGAAGCCCCUUCGGGGAGUGGAGAGUGGCGCACGGGUGAGUAACACGUGAGCAACCUGCCGGGAAGCCCGGGAUAGCCCUCCGAAAGGAGGAUUAAUACCGGAUGUGGCCACCCUGCGAUUGCAGGGGAAGCUAAAGGAUUUAUUCACUUCCCGAGGGGCUCGCGGCCCAUCAGCUUGUUGGUGAGGGUAACGGCCCACCAAGGCGACAACGGGUAGCUGGUCUGAGAGGAUGGUCAGCCACACUGGAACUGAGACACGGUCCAGACACCUACGGGUGGCAGCAGUCGAGAAUCAUUCGCAAUGGGGGAAACCCUGACGAUGCGACGCCGCGUGGAGGAUGAAGGCCUUAGGGUUGUAAACUCCUGUCAAGAGGGAAUAAGCAAGUGAAGGUACCUCUAGAGGAAGGGGCGGCUAAUUCCGUGCCAGCAGCCGCGGUAACACGGAAGCCCCGAGCGUUGUUCGGAUUCAUUGGGCGUAAAGGGUGCGUAGGCGGCGCGGAAAGUCCGGCGUGAAAGGCAGGGGCUCAACCUCUGGACUGCGUUGGAUACUUCCGUGCUUGAGGACUGGAGGGGAGACUGGAAUUCACGGUGUAGCAGUGAAAUGCGUAGAUAUCGUGAGGAAGACCGGUGGCGAAGGCGAGUCUCUGGACAGAUCCUGACGCUGAGGCACGAAGGCUGGGGGAGCGAACAGGAUUAGAUACCCUGGUAGUCCCAGCAGUAAACGAUGUGAGCUUGAUGUGGGGGGAUUCGACCCCUUCCGUGUCGAAGCUAACGCGAUAAGCUCACCGNCUGAGGAGUACGGCCGCAAGGCUAAA